rnacentral:rRNA from 1 species
CUAAUACAUGCAAGUCGAACGAGAACCCUUGGAUUCGUCUGGGGGGGAGAGUGGCGAACUGGUGAGUAACACGUGGGUGACCUGCCCCGAAGACGGGGAUAACCGUUGGAAACGACGGCUAAUACCCGAUAUACUCGGUGAUUCGGUUCAUCGAGUAAAGGCUCCGGUGCUUCGGGAUGGGCCUGCGGCCUAUCAGCUAGUUGGUGGGGUAAUGGCCCACCAAGGCGAAGACGGGUAGGGGGCGUGAGAGCGCGGNCCCCCACACUGGCACCGAGAUACGGGCCAGACUUCUACGGAAGGCAGCAGUCGGGGAUAUUGCACAAUCGGCGAAAGCCGGAUGCAGCGACGCCGCGUGGGCGAUGAAGGCCUUCGGGUUGUAAAGCCCUUUUAUGGGGGAAGAGACAAGGACGGUACCCCAAGAAUAAGCGUCGGCUAACUACGUGCCAGCAGCCGCGGUAAAACGUAGGACGCAAGCGUUAUCCGGAUUUACUGGGCGUAAAGAGCGUUGAGGCGGUUCCGUAAGUUGGGCGUGAAAGCCCCGGGCUUAACCCGGGGAGGUCGUUCAAUACUGCGGGACUUGAGGGCAGCAGAGGGAGGCGGAAUUCCCGGGGUAGCGGUGAAAUGCGUAGAUAUCGGGAGGAGCACCAGUGGCGAAGGCGGCCUCCUGGGCUGUUUCUGACGCUGAAGGCGAAAGCUAGGGGAGCGAACGGGAUUAGAAACCCCGGUAGUCCUAG